rnacentral:tRNA from 1 species
GCGGAAGUGGCGGAAUUGGUAGACGCACCAGAUUUAGGUUCUGGCGCCGCAAGGUGUGAGAGUUCGAGUCUUUCCUUCCGCACCA